rnacentral:rRNA from 1 species
GACGUAGGGCGCAAGCGUUGUCCGGAUUUAUUGGGCGUAAAGAGCUCGUAGGCGGCCUGUCGCGUCGACCGUGAAAACCCGCAGCUCAACUGCGGGCUUGCGGUCGAUACGGGCAGGCUGGAGUUCGGUAGGGGAGACUGGAAUUCCUGGUGUAGCGGUGAAAUGCGCAGAUAUCAGGAAGAACACCCGUGGCGAAAGCGGCUCUCUGGAACGGUACUGACGCUGAGACGCGAAAGCGUGGGGAGCGAACAGG